GCACUUACGCGGAGCGGUAAUGUGAGGAAGCCUCCCGCCAAACAGAUGAGGGAGGAGGAGGAGGGGAGAGGCCAGAGAGAGAAGCGGCUUUCGGGAAGGAAAGUGUGAUCUAGUAGGUGGAAUAGUCCUCUCCAAACUUUGACCUGAGAAUGACCCUCUAUUUGGAUUUGGAUUACACAAAGUUUAACGUUUUUUGGAAAAAUCCUACCUAGGUAAUGUGUAGUUCUCAAUGCAUCAUGUCAGGCAGCUUAUGAUGCCAAUUUGUCCCAUGGAAAGAAAAAUGUACUGUAUUUCACUGUGCUGAAUGCAACUGCCAAUCAAGAUAGUCUGCAGCCUACCUGUGGACCUUAAUGAUUUCACAUGUUCUGCGGAAGAAUUUCUCCCCCACCUCCAAUGACUAUGGCAUUCCUUGGGAAAGUUAGCUUGGUAUUUACUUUUCCCCAGCAGGUCCCAAGCUGACCAAAAAAAUAAAUAAAAAUAAAAAAUAAAAUCAACAACAACAACAACAACAACAAAAACACAAAACAACAAUCAGUUAGCCAGGCUGUUUCAAUGGCCCAAUAAGUUCCAUGAUAGCAAGAAUUCUAUGAAUAAUAAUGGGACAUGGAAUCCCAUGCAGCCUCGCGGAGAGCUCAGCCAAAUCACCCGGAAAUUCUGCUUCAUCACAGCCCUUUCUCUUGCCAUAAAACUGCUUGGGCUCUGUCUUUGCUUCCACAUCAUUUAAGCCUUUCUGCCGACCCUCCAGCAAUUCCAUCCCUGGGGCCUCCGCCCGUCACUAUGCUGGGGCUCCCCAGGGCUUCUCAAGAGGCUCCGUCAGCUCCAUCCUAGAGGCCUCUUCACAGCACCAGAUGAAGUCCACACCUCCUUUUGUAGGACGUUCAAGCAACACAGGCCAGAGUAAGGAUCAAAGUAAAAGUCAUCCUAAAUUCACCACUGAGAGAUACCACUGCCGGUAAACAGGAGACUGCUUUUUCGGAUGUCUACGCAUUUAUA
rnacentral:lncRNA from 1 species